AGAAACAUAGCUUAACUGGAAAAGCACAUCCUUAUCAGGGAUGCGAUACAAGUUCGAGGCUUGUUGUUUCUU
rnacentral:tRNA from 1 species